rfam:Daphnia magna strain Xinb3 scaffold01581, whole genome shotgun sequence.
AAAACGGUCCUUUUCAGGACCACAACUUCAUUUUGAAAAGACUAC